UCUGCCUGUAGAGGAGUUGUAGGUGUGGGUGCUUUAUCACAUGCGCGUCAGUAGGUGGCUGGGAGGAGAGAGGCUAUGUCUAUGCUUAGUGUUCUGACCUAUGAACAUCUCAAUGAUCAGUAGCCUAAUAUU